GCAUUGGUGGUGCAGUGGUUAGCACUCACCGCGGUAAAUGGUGUGAUGCGAGUUCAAAUUCCACCCUGUAGGACG